UUCUGACAUAAUUUGACGGAUUUGAGAAACUAUAACAAUCACGUUUUCUUGGAAAAAUGAAUGAAAGUGAUUGGAAGAAAAGAAUAUGUUUUCCCGUAAAGAUUUGGGUUGCAGUUGGGAGGCAGGAGAGGACAGCGCCGUGGAAAAAAAUGAGUUCUUUAUUUGACCUACGAAGGCAAAAAAGUGUGACUCUGUUCUUGUCAGAGGAAGUGCCGAUACUGCCCUCGCCUCACCAAAUUGAUGAAAAAGGGGAUUCAUAGAAAUCUGCGGGUGGUUGAGCGAGCGGAGAGAUGCAGCGAAGAUGAACACCAACGCCGAUUCCAUUAACCAGUGUUUCGCAGCCGUUUCUGGAGAUCUGGAUUCUCAACAAUCCCCGCCGCCGCCGUUGUCCGCCCAGUUUCAACUCCAGCGCCGCCCCCGCGGCUUUGCAACCACUAAUUCAAGCAGUAACAACGCCGCUGCUGCUCUCACUUCCGGUUCAAUGAGAAGCAGGAAGGAGAGGGAAAAGGAGAAGGAGCGGACGAAGCUUCGAGAGCGCCACCGUAGAGCUAUUACUAGUAGAAUGCUAGCCGGUCUCCGACAAUACGGAAACUUCCCCCUUCCUGCGCGCGCCGAUAUGAAUGAUGUCAUCGCGGCUCUCGCUCGGGAAGCAGGUUGGACUGUGGAGUCUGAUGGAACCACCUACAAACAAUCAUCCACUCCCCCGAGGCAGCCGCAACCGCAGCCGCCUCGCACUGCUCACCUCAGUUCCAUUCAACAGAACAAUUGUAAUGUUUCUAAUAUGGUGGUUCGAUCAGUUGAAAGCCCACUGUACUCUAGUUCUUUAAAAAAUUGCUCGUUGAGGUCAUCAGCUGACUGUCAACCUUCAGCUCUGAGGCUUGAUGAGGAUUUGUCUCCAGCAUCACUUGAUUCUGUUGCUGCAGACAGAAAUGGAAAGCUGGAAAAAUAUUCGAGUGUGAAUGCAUUAAAUUCUCCUGAAUGCUUAAAGUCAGUUCAGCUUAGGCAUGAUGGUGGCUUGAGUUCCUAUGUCCCUGUGUACGCAAGGCUUGCGGUUGGUUUGAUGAACAAUUAUAGCCAGUUGAUGGAUCUGGAUGGUAUUAAAGAAGAACUACAACAUCUGAAGUCUUUGCAUGUCGAUGGUGUUGUUGUAGAUUGUUGGUGGGGCAUGAUCGAAGCAUGUACACCAAAGAAAUAUGAAUGGACAGGAUACAGGGAACUUUUUGACAUUAUUCAAGAGUUUGGGAUGAAACUUCAAGUGGUAAUGGCUUUUCAUGAAUACAGAGGCCAUGAUUCUAAUGGCACAUUCAUAUCCCUACCCCAGUGGGUUUUAGAGAUUGGGAAAAGCAAUCAAGAUAUAUUCUUUACAGAUCAUGAAGGUGGAAGAAAUAUUGAGUGCCUUUCAUGGGGCAUUGACAAAGAACGUGUACUAAGAGGAAGAACUGGCAUAGAGGUAUAUUUUGACUUCAUAAGAAGCUUCCGAACUGAGUUUGAUGAUUUGUUCACUGGCGGAGUCAUUUCUGCUAUUGAAAUUGGAUUGGGACCUUGUGGCGAGCUAAGAUAUCCUUCUUUUUCAGAUAGGAUGGGCUGGAGAUAUCCUGGUAUUGGUGAGUUUCAGUGUUAUGACAAAUAUUUGAUGCGAAAUCUUGAAAAAGCUGCAAAACUCUGUGGACAUCCCAUUUGGGCCAGGGGACCUGAUAAUGCUGGCUAUUAUAAUGCUAAACCAUCUGAAACUGGAUUCUUCAGCGAACAUGGUGAUUACGAAAGCUACUACGGACGCUUCUUCCUGCAUUGGUAUGCUCAAGUCUUGAUCGACCAUGCCGACAAUGUUCUCUCUCUUGCAAGUCUUGCACUUGAGGAAACACAGAUUGUUGUUCAGAUUCCAGCUGUUUACUGGUGGUACAAGACGACGAGCCAUGCCGCAGAGCUCACCGCUGGCUAUUAUAACCCUUGUAAUCAGGAUGGAUAUUCCUGGUUGUUUCAAGUGCUGAAAAAACAUGCUGUGACCAUUAAGUUCGACUUUUCAGGGUAUCAGCCAGUGCAUCAGGAUGCCGAUGAGGCAUUGUCGGAUCCUGAUGCUCUGAACUGGCAGGUUCUUAACUCAGCCUGGGAUCAAGGCCUUAGCGUCGCUGGUCAAAAUGUGUACUCAUGCAGCUGUGAUAGUGAAGGAUUUGUGAAGCUAGUCGAGACAGCAAGACCAAAAAACCAUCCCGACGGCAAGCACUUCGCCUUCUUUGUGCUUCAACAGCCUGCAUUUAUUGAAAGAAGCAUUGGCUUCUCAGAGAUGGAUGGCUUUAUUAAAAGCAUGCACGGAAAGGAGAUGUAGGUUACUGAAAAUUCAAAUGUUUGUAUUAUAUAUCACAAUAUUUGAUCUCAAGUGUGAAUUCUUUGGGAGAAAUUUGAGUUUGUUUAUAUUAUACUAUGUAGCAAAUGGAAUUUAUAUCACAGUAAAUUAUUGCUUCUAUGCCAUUGCCACGGUUUGCGCCAUUAAUUCAAUGAGCCACUGUUACACCGAUAUCUCAGAAAAUUUGAAUUCUCAACAAUCCUCGCUGCCCUCUGGAGAAUUUCAACCCCAGCGCAGCCACAUGGCUUUUCAGUACUAAUUAUAGCAGUAGCAAAUGCUCCAACCAGCAGCGCUUCUGGUUCGAUGGGACUCUGGGAGAGGGAAAGGAGAAGCGGACGAAGCUUCGAGAAGACAUGUGUGUUCUGUGUUUGUACUAUCAAUGACAUAAACAAGAAGGUUCUCCUUUCAAGUUCUUCAUGAUGUAUGGAGAAUUGCUGGAUACAUGGACCAGGCAUUGAGGUACAACAAUCUAUUCUGUUUUAUAUUUAGUUUCAUAUUGAUAAUAUUCCUACCAAAUUUACUGAUAGGUAAAAUUUUCUUAUUAAUGUGGUUCGAGCUGUGGAUAUGGUAUAUGAGGUUUUAAUCGAAACACGUGUACGACAAAGGGAUAAAAUGAUUUGCUUUCAAAAAAUCAGUCUACUGCCACUUUUGUGUCAGCUUUCUUGAAAGUCUAAAGAAUACAAAGAAGCUGCAUUUUAAUUGACCUUAAAAGUAGCCAAUUGACUUGGAUAAGGGUCACAAAAUUCUUUGUAUUUUCAUAUUCUUUAUGACUACAUUGGACAAAGGCACUAUGGUUAGCAUUUCUCACAUGGCACAAUAUCAUUUGUGCAAAAAGAAAAUGUAUAUCCUCUUGUGUUAUGUGCAUUUGUUGUUGUGUGUUUGCUUGGGGGUUUGGAUUUUGAGUUGGGAUUUGAAUAGUAAAAAUUUUGAAUUUAAAUAGUUGUAUGAUGUGAUAUAAAUAGGUGUUGAUGUGAUGUUUUGAAUGUAAAAUUGAUUUUUAGUAUAAUAUAAAAAAUGAAAAAUAGGUGUUUGAUUUGAUAUUUUUUGGGGGAAAAAAAUGAAUGAAUAAUAUAAAUCCAAUCCAAUCCCCCCAAACAAACACACUUUAUGAUCCAUGAAAUUGACAUAUUGCUUUCCUUAUUUGACUGGUGGAACGUUGGAACGGGUUGGUUGAUUAUUUUUAGUUGGUGGGCUCACCCACACGCGUGCAUGUACUAAACAAUACAGCAAUCAAAAGUUUAGUCUUCCAUAGUAGCCAAUUUUUGUGUACAUUAACUAAAUAGGCCAGGUUGUAUGCAUAUGUAGCCAUCCCAUAUUUGUAUGAAUGACUAGCUAACUUGUCUAUUCACAAGUAUAUGUAUAUAUGAGACUGCUGAUAAAAUAUUCCAUUGCUUGGUAUAUCUCAUUCAAAUUCCAAGAUGGGUAUUUUCUUUUCUUUUCUUUUUACCCCCUAAAGCUACCCCAAUAUACACACUGUUAGAUGAUUUUUGUCAUAGUGGGGCUUAUGUGAUGUCACAACAUCCAUUUUUCUUCAAAAUUUUGAUCUGACUGAUACAUUGAAUUUUGACGUGUUAGGGAAGCCCUUGUGAUUAUAAUAUAAACUAAUUCCCAUAUCAACCACAGGGAGGAAAAACGAAGAGUAGUAAGAUAUUAGCAUACAUUCUAUUUGAGGAAUAAUGUCGUAUUUUGAUCUUAGAUAUGGCUUUCUAUUGGCAAUCAACAUUGUGAAGGCACAAGUGGCCUUGCCAUGGGAAUGGGAUCCAUUUGACUUGGCAAGUGAUUUCACUUGGUCGAAAUUUUGGCUGCUCUUUGUUAUUUUUUCAAUUUUCUCAUUUGUUUCGAUUAGAAUUCCACUGUCCCCUCUCAACACUAUGAGCUAUGUUCGUAUUCAAGUUAAGAACUUCUCUUCAUCGUUCAUGAUUUCUUUCUUUACUCUACUCUUCACCCCACAGACUCUCUUUUGGUACAUUUAUCCCUUGUUUAUGUUGCUCCUUCUGUGCAGCACUUGUCUUGGGAAUGUAUUUAGGAGUUUUAAAUAUUGGGUGCAAGCUAUGCUUUCUAUAGUGCCUGAUUUGAACAUAUUUGUAACUGCAACAAAUGGCAUUGGUAGUGAAGAAGACGAUGAGGGACCAAAUCUUGAAGAGGGUAGAGGGCAAGUUUAAUGUUGAGUGAACUAAAAAAAGUCGAGCUUUUUUUGUUAUAUCGUAGUUUAUAUUUUCGUAGUUAAUAUGUUUGUACCUAUUUUGAGUUAGCUAAGAUGUUGAGCUUUAAGAAGCAAUGGUGGAAGCAUCCUUGUAUUAGGAAACUUUGAAUCAUUCACUAUGUAAUGUAAUAAACACAUGUUUACUUAAUGCUCAGACCUCUGACCUC